rnacentral:rRNA from 1 species
AGAGUUUGAUCAUGGCUCAGGAUGAACGCUGGCAGCGUGCCUAACACAUGCAAGUCGAACGGGUGUGGUAUCAGGGAAAAGGGGUUUACUUCUUUGACCAGAUAACACACUAGUGGCGGACGGGUGAGUAACGCGUGGAUAACCUGCCUUAUACAGGGGGAUAACAGGGAGAAAUUCUUGCUAAUACCCCAUAGGUAUGUCUGACGCAUGUUGGACAUAUUAAAGCUUUGGCGGUAUAAGAUGGGUCCGCGUCUGAUUAGCUAGUUGGUGGGGUAAAGGCCCACCAAGGCGACGAUCAGUAGCCGGCUUGAGAGAGUGGACGGCCACAUUGGGACUGAGACACGGCCCAAACUCCUACGGGAGGCAGCAGUGGGGAAUAUUGCACAAUGGGGGAAACCCUGAUGCAGCGACGCCGCGUGAAGGAAGAAGGUCUUCGGAUCGUAAACUUCUAUCAGCAGGGAAGAAGGAAGUGACAGUACCUGAGUAAGAAGCCCCGGCUAACUACGUGCCAGCAGCCGCGGUAAUACGUAGGGGGCGAGCGUUAUCCGGAAUUACUGGGUGUAAAGGGUGCGUAGGCGGUAUGGCAAGUCAGUUGUGAAACCCCCUGGCUCAACCAGGGGCUUGCAAUUGAAACUGUCAUACUAGAGUGCAGGAGAGGAAAGCGGAAUUCCUAGUGUAGCGGUGAAAUGCGUAGAUAUUAGGAAGAACACCAGUGGCGAAGGCGGCUUUCUGGACUGUAACAGACGCUGAGGCACGAAAGCGUGGGGAGCGAACAGGAUUAGAUACCCUGGUAGUCCACGCCGUAAACGAUGAGUGCUAGGUGUUGGGGUCUAAUUAGAUCUCGGUGCUGAAGUUAACGCAUUAAGCACUCCACCUGGGGAGUACGAUCGCAAGAUUGAAACUCAAAUGAAUUGACGG